AAAUCAUAUAUGACCUGUCACCCCAUUGAUUACCAACGGUGAUGUGGCUGAUCUGGCAGCUUAGGCAGUUGUCCCCUUCCUCCCACAUGGCUCUAUAUGCAUCCCUUCAGAAACUUUGAGCUUAAAGAGGAUGACCUUCCCAGAACAGAAAAGGAUAGUUUUUGGCCAAGAUUAUGCAAGGAGCUUCACUCCACUGCUAGAACCUCCAAACAAGUUCUCAAGAUUAUCUCAUUAGAUGUAGGAAAGGCCUUUGAUAAAAUUCAACACUUCAUGAUAAAAAUUAUGA
ensembl:misc_RNA Gm23837 predicted gene, 23837